rnacentral:misc_RNA from 1 species
UAAGUCAACUUGGCACCGCACAGAAUGAAUAAUAUUAGCAAGGGAAUUAACAUCACGUAUUUCCUUCACCAGUUCCUCUAGCACCGCUCCCGAGUCAUCUAGAGAAAUUAGAUCUACCUUGUUAAGAAUGAUAACAUCCGCAAAAGCUAUUUGUAAAUAAGCUUCAGGAAAUGAAGAGGAGUCAGGAUUUGGUUUUAGCUGAUACCGAAGGUUCUUUGCAUCAACAACAGUGAUUAUGGAGUCAAGCCUAACAUCUGAUUCCAGCUGAUCAUCCAACCAA